rnacentral:rRNA from 1 species
CAUCGGCUAACUCUGUGCCAGCAGCCGCGGUAAGACAGAGGAUGCGAACGUUGCUCGGAUUUACUGGGCGUAAAGCGCGUGUAGGCGGUCUCGUUAGUCGGGUGUGAAAGCCCCGGGCUCGAACCCGGGAAGUGCACCCGAUACUGCGAGACUGGGGUACUGAAGAGGAGAGCGGAAUUCCCGGUGUAGAGGUGAAAUUCGUAGAUAUCGGGAGGAACACCAGUGGCGAAGGCGGCUCUCUGGGCAGAUACCGACGCUGAGACGCGAAAGCGUGGGGAGCAAACAGGAUUAGAUACCCUGGUAGUCCACGCUGUAAACGAUGACGACUGGGUGUUGCAGGUAUUGACCCCUGCGGUGCCGAAGCCAACGCGUUAAGUCGUCCGCCUGGGAAGUACGGCCGCAAGGCUAAAACUCAAAGGAAUUGACGGGGG